rnacentral:lncRNA from 10 species
GUCAACCUAGCUAAGCGGGAACUACGUUUCCCAGAAUUCCUUGCCUGUAGGUUUCCGGGGUUAGCACACGCCACGUGACCUGAUGCGGGCUUCGUGAGGCGGAAGUGACGCAGUGUUGUCGUCUCGUAGGCUUGAAAGGUUAGUUCCAGGAUCCACACUCCUCCACCAUAGUCAGGAGAUUCAGGGAAAGUUGGCAGGGUUCAGCUUUCAAGUUGACCCUUGAUGAACCAUGGUCAAUCCUGUUAAGAGGCGUGAAAGCCAAUCCCAGCCAAUGAGACUGGGGAGAAAUCACUGAAGAACUUGUGGAAAACAGACCCUCUGGAUAAAAGACACGUGUGGGGAAAAAGGGGCUUUUUAAUGUUAUUCUGGAUGUUUCCCAAAAGUACUGCUGCUGCCUUGCCUCCCUGACAGACACUGGCCUUAGGAUGACAUGCGGCAGGAAGGAAGGACGGAUCUGGGGUUUUUCAAGACUCACUGAGAUGCACAAGGAACCAACCCUCAAGUAGCCAACUCGUUCCUGUUUGCAUGUGUCGACUGAAAAGAAUCAAAAUAAACAAAAUAUAACUAUUUCUAAGAGGUUACAACUUGCAGGCAGGAAGCAGGCCUCUACCUGAGGCCAUAAAGCAUACUUUGAAGGAGAAAAGGUAGGUAUUUAUGCUAGGUGGAGAGGUAGGAUAUACGUAUUCUGUAGCAUACAGGAGAAGCCUAUGAAAAUUCAUGGAGGAAACUCGUUAGAGACACGCACUGGGCUUACAUAUGAAGAAUAUCCAAAAGCGGAUGACCUGUGUUCACUCUGGGGUGAAGAUUUAACAUUUAAAUGUAUUAUAAUUAGGCUGUAAAUGCAAAAAGGUGAAACAUAGGGCACAAGUUCACGAUCUGUGCAAUCUCCAGAGACCAGUCUGAUCUAGCCUGCAGCUGGCAGUCAUCUGUCAAGAAGGGGCUCUUUGUAGCCCAGAGUAGCUGUCAGGUUGGAACCAUAAAACCAAAAGGAGGGCAUCGGCGGUUAGGUGAAGAAAAGAAGUCUUUUGGCCUUUUUUCCUCUUCAAGUCAGCUUUUGAUAAGAUCUAGUAAUAAUAAGGGGAUGGGUGUGGCUGCAGGUGGGACAUGUCGGUUCUCUGUCCUGUCACAGCUAAGAACUAAGAACUUUAGAGUCUUUCAGCCAUAGAGGGUCCUGUCAUCCAUUGAAGGGAUCAGUCCAUUGGGAUUUUGCCAGUUUUAGCAUUGAUGCUGUGUCCUGGGAAACCCCUGAAUACUUAUCAUAGCAGAAGUUCAGCCACUGUAGCCCUACCUCAGGACCGCUUUUAUGGGAAAGAAUAAUUCCUUUAACUGCUUGAGCCAUUUGAGUUGUGGCUGCUUUUGGUACUUGUAAUAAAUUGAAAGCAUCUUGAAUGUUCUGGGACAGUAAAAGAAUGUGCCUUUGUUUCUGACAGCAAUUAUAAAAUCAAUUAUAUGUUUAUAUUCUAAAAAAUGUUUUGAGUAAUGCUGACAUCAUUGGAAAAGUGCAUCACUUAGAAAAUGUAUCUGUGUGUCAAUUUUGUUUGUUCAAAAUCAGUUUCAUUAAUUUGUGGGAAGAUACACCUUGUACAUUUUACCUAAUUAAAAAAAAUAUUGCCAGUUGAGUAUACUUGUGA